GACAUAGGUGGCGAACGUUAUCCGGAAUUAUUGGGCGUAAAGGAUGCGUAGAUGGUAGAAUAAGUUAUUGGUCGAUGCCAAAACUCAAUUUUGGCGGAAGCUGGUAAUACUGUUCAACUAGAGGACAGGAGAGGUUGAUGGAAUUCUGCGUGGAGCGGUGAAAUGCGUUGAUCUGCAGAGGAACACCAAAAAAAGGCGAAGGCAGUCAAACCCAUUCUGUUCCUGACAUUUGAGGCAUGAAAGCGUGGGGGAGCAAACCGG
rnacentral:rRNA from 1 species